UUUGAAAUCUGGCCCCCCCUUUCCGAGUUGUAAUUUGUAGAGGAUGCUUUUGGCGCGGCGCCUUCCGAGUUCCCUGGAACGGGACGCCAUAGAGGGUGAGAGCCCCGUCUGGUCGGAUGCCUAGCCUCUGUAAAGCUCCUUCGACGAGUCGAGUAGUUUGGGAAUGCUGCUCAAAAUGGGAGGUAUAUGUCUUCUAAAGCUAAAUAUUGGCCAGAGACCGAUAGCGCACAAGUAGAGUGAUCGAAAGAUGAAAAGCACUUUGAAAAGAGGGUUAAAAAGUACGUGAAAUUGUUGAAAGGGAAGCGCCUAUGACCAGACUUGGGCCCGGUGAAUCAUCCAGCGUUCUCGCUGGUGCACUUUGCCGGGCACAGGCCAGCAUCAGUUUGGCGCGGGGGACAAAGGCUCUGGGAAUGUGGCUCCCCCGGGAGUGUUAUAGCCCACUGCGCAAUACCCUGCGCCGGACUGAGGUACGCGCAUCGCAAGGAUGCUGGCGUAAUGGUCAUCAGCGACCCGUCUUGAAACACGGACCAAGGAGUCGUCUUCGUAUGCGAGUGUUCGGGUGUCAAACCCCUACGCGUAAUGAAAGUGAACGCAGGUGAGAGCUUCGGCGCAUCAUCGACCGAUCCUGAUGUUCUCGGAUGGAUUUGAGUAAGAGCAUACGGGGCCGGACCCGAAAGAAGGUGAACUAUGCCUGUAUAGGGUGAAGCCAGAGGAAACUCUGGUGGAGGCUCGCAGCGGUUCUGACGUGCGAAUCGAUCGUCAAAUAUGGGCAUGGGGGCGAAAGACUAAUCGAACCUUCUAGUAGCUGGUUUC
rnacentral:rRNA from 1 species